UCCUCGGUAGCUCAGUGGUAGAGCACUUGGCUGUUAACCAAGUGGUCGCUGGUUCGAAUCCGGCCCGGGGAG
rnacentral:tRNA from 1 species